AGAACUGAAAGAGUCAAAGCUCAGAGAGAGUCAAGAGCUCAGAUUGUGUUUCUGCUGCACAAGAGCUUCUGUACUUCUGCAUGUGAUGGUCAGCGGCUGAAUGUUUCCUCAAAGCUCUGCUAAUGUCUGCAUUGGUGUUUUAGCUGCAGUAUGGCAGAGUGGCAAGUAAAGGACUCUCUCUCAGAGAAACACAGUGUGAGAUCAGGAUCAUGUGUGUCCAGCUCUGUGUCUCUGAAGAGUGACCGGUCAAAAAGGAAUCCACUAAACUUCAGUGGGAAAACACCAUCAUCUGCACAAAGUGUUGAAUAUGAGUUACCAUAUUCAGGAGACGAG